ACGAACGCUGGCGGCGUGCCUAAUACAUGCAGGUCGAACGCACUCUCGUUUAGAUUGAAGGAGUUUGCUCCUGAUUGAUAAACAUUUGAGUGAGUGGCGGACGGGUGAGUAACACGUGGGUAACCUGCCCUAAAGUGGGGGAUAACAUUUGGAAACAGAUGCUAAUACCGCAUAAAACCUAACACCGCAUGGUGUAGGGUUGAAAGAUGGUUUCGGCUAUCACUUUAGGAUGGACCCGCGGUGCAUUAGUUAGUUGGUGAGGUAAAGGCUCACCAAGACCGUGAUGCAUAGCCGACCUGAGAGGGUAAUCGGCCACACUGGGACUGAGACACGGCCCAGACUCCUACGGGAGGCAGCAGUAGGGAAUCUUCCACAAUGGACGAAAGUCUGAUGGAGCAACGCCGCGUGAGUGAAGAAGGUUUUCGGAUCGUAAAACUCUGUUGUUGGAGAAGAAUGUAUCUGAUAGUAACUGAUCAGGUAGUGACGGUAUCCAACCAGAAAGCCACGGCUAACUACGUG
rnacentral:rRNA from 1 species